ensembl:snoRNA
UACGACCCUUAUCAAAACUGCAGCUGCUUCCACAUAGCUGGUGUGGUCAGAAAUAAGCCCCAACUAACAGUUUUCCUUAAUUGUCAUGGUUCUGUUUACUAUAACACAUCUGUAAGAUUUUGGGAAAAGACAGUU